ACUGUAAGGUCUUGUUUGUGCCCUAAGUAAGGUCUUGUUUCUAGGAACUAGGUAAUUGUGUUUUAAAAUAAAUCUCAAUUUAAUAUGUUAAAGAUUGAGUUGGCGUCAGUUUAGUCUUUCAAUUUUAGGUAGUUUGUUAGACCUCUUAGUAAGGAGUUUAGAACAAUUAUCCUAGUGUUAUUAUGUGUGUUGCCAUCCGUAUUGUAAUUCUGUUUGUAUUAAUGAAUAUGAGAAAUUUCCUUAAUUCUAUUAUGUAAAUAACCAAUAUCUAUCAUUUUUC
rnacentral:lncRNA from 1 species